UUUUUUCGGUUUCAAUCCAUUUUUUUUCAGCUUCAAUCCAGUUUUCGGUUUCAAUCCAUUUUUCAGUUUCAAUCUGCUGGCACUGUUUUGGCGUCCGGGGGCGCGCUUGAGGGGGCGGGGAUUCCGACCCGCAUGAAUUUGCAUACAUUAUAGAGUCCGUUGCUCGUGCUGACCAAGCUGCCAUUUUUCUCUUUUUGCCUCUUUCAAUGGCUGCAUCAAGUUCAGGUGGACCCUCUAAACCGCAGGUAAGUAAUCAUUUUCCGUCGUCUUUCUUUGCUAUUUCACUCGACUGGACAUAGGUUUAGUUUUUAUUAGCUAAAUAUGGUGAAGUUGUGGUAAAAUGCCAACAUUAGCCUAUUCGUUGUAGCAAGCUAGCUGGCAGCUAAAAUUUGCUAAAUUCAGUGAUGCCCCUGUCUCUUUUGUGAAUAAACAAACACUUUAACUUUGAAAUGGAUUCUGCAGUACAGGGAUUUGAGGUUCAAACUGCAAAAGUAUCUACAAGGAUGCCAGAGCCUUACUCCUGAUGGCCAGUGGUGAUGAUAACAUAUUAAGCAAUGGCAGAUUCCAGGCACAUAACGGUACCAUUAAUAAGGAGGCAGUUCUAUGAAAGAUUGCUAACAAAGCUUCAUGGAGCUCUACAACGCAGACCUGUAGAUAUGGACUAUUUGCAUUAUGUCAUCACUCAUGAAUUGAGACUUAUACGGUCAUUUGGUAAUAUUUUAGCAGUACCACAAGAUAUUCUUAAUGCCUUAUCCAAUCUUUUGAGACUGAUAAAUUUUCAAGACAGAGAGAGACACCCACAUUCUUCUCUUGUUGAUGUUGUAUACACAGCAAGAGGACAACGUAAACUUAGUAUAUCAGAAGAAUCUUUGCAAAGCCUCAUCAACAUGAAAUUUUCCAUUCCCAGUAUAGCUCGGCUUCUGGGUGUCAGCAAAAGGACAUUAUUUCGUCGGAUGCAAGAGUAUGGACUUUCAGUGCAUGCAUCAUAUAGCAGUGUCACAGAUGAUGAGCUGGACAGCCUUGUUAGAUCAGUUAAAA